rnacentral:rRNA from 1 species
GACGAACGCUGGCGGCGUGCUUAACACAUGUAAGUCGAACGAGUGGCGAACGGGUGAGUAAUGUCUGGGAACCUGCCUGAUGGAGGGGGAUAACUACUGGAAACGGUAGCUAAUACCGCAUACCAUCAGAUGUGCCCAGAUGGGCUUAGCUAGUAGGUGGGGUAACGGCUCACCUAGGCGACGAUCCCUAGCUGGUCUGAGAGUGUGACCAGCCACACUGGAACUGAGACACGGUCCAGUCUCCUACGGGAGGCAGAAGUGGGAAAUAGUGCACAAUGGGCGCAAGCCUGAUGCAGCCAUGCCGGGUGUGUGAAGAAGGCCUUCGGGUUGUAAAGCACUUUCAGCGGGGAGGCGUUACCCGAAGAAGAAGCACCGGCUAACUCCGUGCCAGCAGCCGCGGUAAUAC